rnacentral:rRNA from 1 species
AACGAACGCUGGCGGCAUGCCUAACACAUGCAAGUCGAACGAGACCUUCGGGUCUAGUGGCGCACGGGUGCGUAACGCGUGGGAACCUGCCCUUAGGUUCGGAAUAACUCCCCGAAAGGGGUGCUAAUACCGGAUAAUGUCUUCGGACCAAAGAUUUAUCGCCUUUGGAUUGGCCCGCGUUGGAUUAGCUAGUUGGUAGGGUAAAAGCCUACCAAGGCGACGAUCCAUAGCUGGUCUGAGAGGAUGAUCAGCCACACUGGGACUGAGACACGGCCCAGACUCCUACGGGAGGCAGCAGUGGGGAAUAGUGGACAAUGGGCGAAGGCCUGAUCCAGCAAUGCCGCGUGAGUGAUGAAGGCAUUAGGGUUGUAAAGCUCUUUUACCCGGGAUGAUAAUGACAGUACCGGGAGAAUAAGCUCCGGCUAACUCCGUG